UCCCAUGUGGUCUAGUGGUUAGGAUUCCGGGCUUUCACCCGGGCGGCCCGGGUUCGAUUCCCGGCAUGGGAA
rnacentral:tRNA from 1 species